UACGUAGGGUGCGAGCGUUGUCCGGAAUUACUGGGCGUAAAGAGCUCGUAGGUGGUUUGUCGCGUUGUUCGUGAAAACUCACAGCUUAACUGUGGGCGUGCGGGCGAUACGGGCAGACUGGAGUACUGCAGGGGAGACUGGAAUUCCUGGUGUAGCGGUGGAAUGCGCAGAUAUCAGGAGGAACACCGGUGGCGAAGGCGGGUCUCUGGGCAGUAACUGACGCUGAGGCACGAAGGCCAGGGGAGCAAACGGG
rnacentral:rRNA from 1 species